AGGAAGCAUGCUUCAAUAAUUUGUUUCCAAAUUGUAUCAAACUGUUACAUUAAUUUUUGUACAUAAUAUUUGUAUCACUUUCUAAUAUAUUUAUUUUAUGGUAAUUGAAAAAAACUAGCGUGGACUGUUUGAGACGUACACUAUAUGUUAAAUUCAACACACACUUUACAACUGUGUAUUUGCCGUAGCUCGUCUGAUGCGUGUCUGAUCCGCGGCUCAGCCGCCAGUUCUGGCAUUGUCAAAAUCACACGUGGCGGCACUUGUCGAAGAAAGUACAUGUAUUUUGUGAAUCGUCUCAGGUUAUCGACCAAGUGACAACAGCCCAUUCUACAAGGUGACAUAAACGCGCGCGCGUGAGGUAUCGAGGAGGAAUAGUCCGUGUUAGCGCGUGUGUGUCGCUUUCUUCGUGGAUAUUUAUUUUAGUUCAUCGAUUUCCCAGAUAUCCGUGUGAAAGGCACCUGUAUGUAUCCGUGUAUGUAUGCAAAGUACCUAAUAGCCUCAGGCUGACGGACUAACGUCUCUCUCUCUUUCUCCGCCACUUACUGUGAGUAUACUCUAUCGCAAAAGUGUGCUCUCCCUUCGGUUCCCCUUUCGCACCACCCGAUCAUCCCUUCGCUCUUUCCCCCCCGGGCGGCUUUGACGUUAAUGGUCCAUCGAUCGGACGGGAGACAGGUGCGUGGUGGUAGUAAAAAUAAUCUUGCAGCAUACUUAUAUAUAUACAAAAACCGUCGAUCCUCUGCUCGAAAUUCAUUUUAAGAUUAACUCUCGCGUAUAAAAAGUUAUCUCUCGCGCUCUCGCGUUCACGUUCCAUCCCCCUUUUUCUCCCCCAUUGCGUUUCCUUUUUCACUCCUACGAAUAAAAAGAAAUAUUAAAAGCCAAUAUACUGAAGAUGGAGUUUCGAAUACGCUGUUUCGUAAGAUACCCUGUUUUGUUUCAAAUAAUGGAACUUUUUCCGGAAACAAGAACAAUUUUAAAGCACUCCGUCGCAUCUCCGUUGCCUCUUACAACCGCCGCUAACGAAGAGCUUUUUGUUUUUAACGCAGAUUAGUAUUUCGUGAAGAUAUCCCGCGUUUGCCUGCUUUUAUACGCGAUCAUAAAAUGCAGUCUGUACAUAAUUAUUAAUGGAAGAAAUGUUCGUUUAAUCAAAAGACAUUAAGAAUUAAUAUUAAUAAUUGCGCACACCUUUGAGUAAUUAAUUUAAAUUCCGUAUUUGCAACGUAAUAGACGCUUUUAAAUUUUUAAAGAGCGCGCCGCACGAGGCUAAUAUUUUGCUCAAAGACUCCGUAUUAUAAAAUUGAGUUUUCUGCUGUAAUGAAAUUAUUUGGAUCAACGAGACGACACGGCGCGGACGCGAAAUGGGUCGCUUUACGCUUCGCCUACAAUGAAGAAUUUACUUUAUAAAUACUGGUUCGAAGUAGCAGAUAAAAGAAAUUUAUUAUUUCUUUACACACAGUAUGAGAGAUCCGAAGACUUUUAAAUAUAUUAAUGGGCGAUACCUAUCGAUUUUAUCUCCCGAGAAUUUAGGAAUCCUUCUAAAUUACACUUGUCAUGACCUGAAAUUGAAUGAAUUUUGUCUUCUUCGUGUAUUUUCUACUUUCACAAAGUGCAUAGAGAGAAUCAUAUUUUACACGCACUUUACGUUUCUAAUCUUUCACACAUAAUUAGUCUCGAUUAGUUUGAUAGGUAGAGAGAGAGAGAGAGAGAGCGAUUUUUUCUUGUCAGAGUAACUAAAGCAUCAACAGUCUGAGAAUUACGAGCAACUGAAAAUAGAAGACCUCCUGUAAAUUAAGUUUCAUGGGGUAGAUAAGCUGGAUCUCAUUAUCUGCUUGACUUCAUCCCAACUUUAAUUUAAAAAAAAAGUUUGAUAUUAUAAACUUAUUUAUCGAAAUUUAAUAUUUUAACGUUGCGGGAAACGACAACUUCCCGUUGAACUUCUGCCGCUGGGGGGGGGGGGACGGAAGAUAUUGACUGCAGGUAUGUGCAUAUCGCGAAGUAUUUUAGAUGAAAAGGAAACACGGCAGUAUAGAGCCGGUAUGGCGCAGCCGUUAAAGCGUGAUUACAGCACGUGUAAACGAUCAAGUGUGCGAUGCACGCGGAGUGUACGCUUCGUGUCCUCGUUGGCACCCGGUUUUCAUGUUGUCUGACGUGAGAGUGCAAGUGGAGAACAAGUGUUUGUCGACAUACCGCACUCUCGGCCGAGUGUGUGCGUUCCCAUUAGAUUUCGUCGGCUCUCUCUUCCUCGCGGCACACAGCCGCGACUUUUCCGACGCUGGCGCGGAACACUGAAACCGACGACCGUGAACGCGCGUGUGAAAGGUUUGCGAUUCGCCUGUUUCAUCGUGCUCGAUCGGGAUGCAUCUUACGCGUCGAAAGCACUGAAUCUCGCUCUUGCGCACACAGAAGAGUCCUAGUUUUACCAGCAUAUUUUUCGGAUGUAUAUUGCUAAUGAUAGCUGAUCAAUCUGCCGUGAUGUCGUUAGCUUUCAAUGUCACGACGGCACGACAUUCAGUUUCCAUAGUGAUUUGUGAGAAAAUGCGUUUAUACUUGGAUUAACACAGUGCCUAAUGAAAAGGAGCGAUACACGUGUGUCGAACAGGUUGAAAAAUGUUAUAUCCAAUCUUCGACGUUUGCACUUGAAUAAAAAUAUUCAGGUCAGCUUGAUUACGUAAUCCAGAUGCAGAUGAGUUUUCAAGUUAUCAAAAUUAAUGCACCAACGGGGUGCAGGUGCGUAUUAAAAAGAUUUGUAUAAAACAAUUAUGCGUUACACAUGCACGUCGAGAGAGAUUUUUUGGGAUACGCUAAGUAGCUUAAUCCUCCCUCGCUGUAAUUACGGUAUACCAGAUUUCACUGUGAGUUACACCGGGUGUAACCCAAUAUCUCGUUACAUGCCCCUUUGACAUGAACUGCGUUUGCUCUUGACGUAUAUACAAUUCCUGUAAACUAUAUAUUAGCUGCCUAGGUAGACAUGUGCGCAUCGGUUUAAUUAUGUGUGCGUUAGGCUAACAGCCGUUUUUUCAGACGACUUUUGUGGAUUUUUUGCCCCAUUAUCUCUGGAAUUUAUUUUUCAUUCAUUAUAAAAACGAGGUUCGCGUGCACGUCGACCUCAAUAUGAAAUUGCAAUAUGAAACUGGUAUAUGGGGGAUGAAAAUUUAUCCGUAAGUUAAACACAGUUACCUGUAUUAACAUUUAUAUUAUAUUAUGAGUUUAUAUUAUAAAUAAAUAGAAUAUAACGUAAAAGAUAUCCAACUAAAAAGUUAAUUUAUUCUAAACGACAUAAGCAGCAAUAUAAUAUUACAUGGAGAAUUAAAUUGCAGCUAUUAAUGAUUUAAACAAGAGGCUACUUCAUUGGAUAUUAUACGAUAAUUUCAUUUUAGCGUUAUUUGAUUUAUGUGUAAAACGAUAUUUGUGAAUUAUACUGGAAUAAUAUUUUAUUUGUGCAUUUAUAGAAUGAGAGAAAUGGCUUUCUAUAUAUCAUACGCUCAUAAUAAUCAAAAUAAAAAAAUGGAAAAUUAUAUUGCGGGGCACUGAAAACUGGUUGUUAUGUUAUGAUCGUUAUGAUUAUCUCGUAUUAGCCAUAUUAAUUGUAUUUGAAUAUAUUUGCGUAAACACAUGUUUGCCAAAAUGUUAAUUAUAUUGUAAUCAAAUUAAGCAACUUUCUUUAAUGUAGCAUAAUAUUCCCAUAAAAUUAAUUAAUUAAUUACAUCAUAUGUUAAUGAAACCAAGCAGAGAUAUUAGACUAGAUUAGAAUGUCAAAUAUAUUUAGUGGAAAAUUU